rnacentral:misc_RNA from 1 species
GAAAUGCGAUAAGUAGUGUGAAUUGCAGAUUUCAGUGAAUCAUCGAAUCUUUGAACGCACAUUGCGCCCGCUAGUAUUCUGGCGGGCAUGCCUGUUCGAGCGUCAUUUCAACCAUCAAGCCCCCGGGCUUGUGUUGGAGCCCUGCGGCUGCCGCAGGCUCCCAAACGCAGUGGCGGGCUCGUCGUCGUACCGAGUGCAGUAAACAUACCUCGCUCAGGGAACGCGUCGGGUCCCGGCCGUAAAACACCCAAACUUAUCAAGGUUGACCUCGGAUCAGGUAGGAAUACCCGCUGAACUUAA